AACGAACGCUGGCGGCAUGCCUAACACAUGCAAGUCGAACGAGACCUUCGGGUCUAGUGGCGCACGGGUGCGUAACGCGUGGGAACCUGCCCUUAGGUUCGGAAUAACUCCCCGAAAGGGGUGCUAAUACCGGAUAAUGUCUUCGGACCAAAGAUUUAUCGCCUUUGGAUGGGCCCGCGUUGGAUUAGCUAGUUGGUAGGGUAAAAGCCUACCAAGGCGACGAUCCAUAGCUGGUCUGAGAGGAUGAUCAGCCACACUGGGACUGAGACACGGCCCAGACUCCUACGGGAGGCAGCAGUGGGGAAUAUUGGACAAGGGGCGAAAGCCUGAUCCAGCAAUGCCGCGUGAGUGAUGAAGGCCUUAGGGUUGUAAAGCUCUUUUACCCGGGAUGAUAAUGUCAGUACCGGGAGAAUAAGCUCCGGCUAACUCCGUG
rnacentral:rRNA from 1 species